GUUUAUCGCUACAUGUAACAAAAUUAAGUAAAGCUCACAAAAGUAUAAUAACCUUAGCCCAAGAUUAAACUGCUAUGCGCACCCAUUCGGUCAGUCUGUCAUCGGCGAAACGGGACGAACCCCUUAGCGAAAGCGUCGCCGCAAUUUGGCGCACACCAACACACCAACAAUCAACGGCAACGAAGGCACUGGCGAGCAUCCACCGCAUUCAUUACUGUCUGCAUCACCAACGUCGCCAUCUCGGCAGAAAAGUUAUCCCGACGCACGCGGGGAAAAAUUAUAAAACGAGUGUGAAAACGCGAGAGGUUUGCCGUCAAAGUUUCCGCGGUGUUCGCAGCGGAUUUGCAUCAAGGAAGGCCUCCAUUUUGUUUUCUCGCACCCAGGCCGUGCGCAGACAUAAAAGGCACGCCACCGAAAAGCCUCACGGAACGGCCAAUCGUGAUUCCAGCGGGACAGAACCGGAAAAUUCGUAGGGCUAAUCUGCGAGUCGCGGUAGCGGAAGUAAACUGCUGGUGUCCGGAAGACAGGGCGAGGAGCAAGAUUCAGAAGAGGGCCAAAUUGCCUGAUUGCAAGCAGCAGUCGCUGGCCGCGCAAGUUUCUCUCGGCCGGAAGCGCAUUUCAACCGCAAGUAGAGCUGAUAAGCCCGGAUCGGAUCACUGUGGCCAAGCCGGAAGCAAAUUCGAGCUACAAAGAGCCCCGGAAAGGGUGAGUAACCAAACUAUGGCAAGCACCAGCAUAAGGCUAACCCACGGGUGCCAUAGGGCUCUUUUUGUUUACGAUUCUUUGACAGAUUUAGCCGCUUGUCGCCUGAUCUAGACAGUUCGUCGGAAGACUCCCUCGGCUCAACAUCGGAGGAAGUCGGGCGGUUCCAAGCGAGAUUAGGAGGAUUCCCGAUCGGUUCGCGAAUAUCAAGAGGUCGCAUCGAUCGUUGCCGCGAUCGAAUCCCAGGACGGCUCGAGGCAUUCCCUCUCCAGGUCGGACAGCGCAGCCUGGCAUAGCGAACACGAUUCGGUGCUGGAGAAAUAGCUCGUCGGAGCGCCACGAUCGUGACGACCAGCAGCGACGCAUCAGCUGCGCGGCAGCUCGGGAGCAGUCCGAUUGUUGGUCCGGCGAUGACCAGAGAUUUGUUGGUGUGUGCGAUGGCCGACCCGGAGCAGAUAUGGGGGACGCCCCAGAAAAGUUAGCUGCUAGGUUAAGGAUAUGUUAGCUAGUAAGAAAAUGUCUGAUUUAGACAGGAAAGGAGAGAAGGAUAGGGAAGGAAGCCGCAUGCAAGGCGCAAAUAUAUGUAUUAAAAUUGAGCUUUGUGAGUUUUGGAUUGUUCGUUGGUGCAUUGGCCCUCUGGUGUUUGAGUUUUAGUCGUUCGCUCUCGGUAGUUUGCUCUGCCCUAACCGGGAAACUUGCAACACUGGCGCCCAACGUGGGGCACGAACCCACGACCCUGAGA